GGUACAGAACUCACUCAAGGACCGGCAUGGGCACAUGGCAGGCUGCUGGCCAAAAUGUGCCCACUAAGCCCCUAACAAAUGAAUCAUUGCCUGGGUGACUAGAGAGACAGAUGUUUACUGUGGAACAGUAACAGAAAAGUCUGGGCUUUUUGCCAUUUAAGAAGAAGGAAAAAAAGGCACAUGAACUUUCUUGUCCUGGACAGAGCUCGGAGAAGCACCCUUCCAAGUGGUGUGAUGAUUCGGUGUUCAGGGUGCAGACCUCAGAAGUUCUCUGGCAUCUUCUUUCAAGUGUUCAGGAGGAAGCUCAGCAUGAAGUGAAUGAGAACACAACCAAACAACAGCAACAAUAAGACCAAAAGCAACAACAUUAUCGACAACAACAACUCAAUAAUUGCAGCAAGAACAACAGUAGGCCUCCCAGAUCUCCCAGCUCUCAGCUUUGCCCUUGAAAAACAAUGAGUCAGAACAGAAAACAUCAUCUGAGUAUUUCAAGGGAACCACCCAAGUGACAGUUCUAUGUCCUAUCUGUCUUGGAGCAAUAAUAAGACCUGGUAUACUCCAGAAGUUUUGGAACUGCUGAGAACAAAGGAGAGAUGGAUAUUUACAGCUCCUUCAGAGGACCAAUGAACUAGCUGAUGGAAAUCAGUCCAGCAUUGAUGUUGUUUGUUUAAAAGUAGAAUGGAGGACUGCAAGCACUAUUGCUUAACAGCACUGGAUGCUCUUUUAAAGGACCCAGGUUCAAUUUCCAGCACCCCUGUAGCAGCUUACAGCUGUCUGUAACUCCAGUUCCAAGAGAUCUGAUACCCUGUGACUUCAU